rnacentral:tRNA from 1 species
GGAGGGGUGGCCGAGUGGCUUAAGGCGCACGCUUGGAAAGCGUGUAUACGGGGAACCGUAUCGAGGGUUCGAAUCCCUCUCCCUCCGCCA